rnacentral:rRNA from 1 species
UACGAAGGGGGCUAGCGUUGUUCGGAAUUACUGGGCGUAAAGGGCGCGUAGGCGGACGCGCAAGUCAGGGGUGAAAUCCCGGGGCUCAACCUCGGAAUUGCCUUUGAGACUGCGUAUCUUGAGGACGGGAGAGGGUCGUGGAAUUCCCAGUGUAGAGGUGAAAUUCGUAGAUAUUGGGAAGAACACCGGUGGCGAAGGCGGCGACCUGGACCGUAUCUGACGCUGAGGCGCGAAAGCCAGGGGAGCGAACGGG